GCAAUAUCGACUUAGUCGAAUAAAAUUCUAGGUAGAAUUAUGAUAAUGACAUUGUCUACCUAUAUGUCUUGACCAAAUUACGUGCCAGCAGUCGCGGUAAUACGUAGAAGACUAGUGUUAUUCAUCUUUAAUAGGUUUAAAGGGUACCUAGACGGUAAAUCAAGCCUGGAAAGGGACUAGUUUACUAGAGUUACUUGUGAGGGGGCAUUAAAGUACUAAUGGUGGAGAGAUGAAAUUCUGUAAUACCAUUUUGUAGAGGAAGUGAUGGCACAGGUAUAGGCGAAAGCAUCCCCUUAUGUGAUAACUGACGUUGAAGGACGAAGGCUUUGUGUAGCGAACAGGAUUAGAUACCCUGGUAGUCUAAGCAGAAAAUGAUGAAUGUCAUAGAUUAGACACUUAAUAGUUUAUUCUAUAAAUGAAAGUGUAAGCAUUCCACCUCAAGAGUAAUUUGGCAACAUUGGAACUGAAAUCAUUAGACCGUUUCUGAAACCAGUAGUGAAGUAUGUUGUUUAAUUUGGUAAUCCGCAAAAAACCUUACCACAAUUUGAAUAUUUAUAUUUCGACUUUUUUUUGUUUUCAUAUUUUUUUUCUUUUGUGAUAAAAGAGAUUAGAUAAACUAUAAAAAAAAAAGUAAAGAUAUUUUUACAAGCGUUGCACGGCUGUCUUCAGUUAAUGUCGUGAGACUAUGGUUAGUUCCAUUAAAUUAACGCAAACCCUUACUUUAUUUUUACAUAAAGUAGUUCCCCAUUAUAU
rnacentral:rRNA from 1 species